GCAAUACCUAUUACAAUGAUCCAUCAGUGAUCACGCCAUCAUCCCCACUUAUUCAUUCAGCGGGAGUGUAUAUAAAGUCGUCCGAGAUCUCAAUUCUGGCAUAACACAUUUUUUUGUACAGAUCUAUUCAUUGUUUUCACUUUAAACCUCAAAAACCCACCAAAAACCAAAAUGGGCGCAGAAAAGGUAUCCAUGAACAUCGUUGUCGUCGGACAAGUCAAAUCUGCCAAGGCCGUCAAGACCGUCUCCAAGGCCACACCAGCCACCAACCAACUGAUGAACUGUUAAAUCAUGUAGUCUACAUACAUUGGAAAACUCAAAAAUGCCAUAGCCCAAAUAGUACAAUAAUAUGUAAUUCAUUUCAAUAUUUACAACACAAAAUAAAUCAAUAAUUUCUGAUGAAUUUAA